ensembl:snoRNA SNORD12C small nucleolar RNA, C/D box 12C
GCCGGUGUAAAUGAUGAUUUCGCUUUUUUCCCCAUCAGAUCGACAAUGCUGAUGUCUUUGAACAUUUGCCAGUUAGUUCUGAUCACACCGGC